rnacentral:rRNA from 1 species
AUUGAACGCUGGCGGAAUGCUUUACACAUGCAAGUCGAACGGCGGCACGGACUUCGGUCUGGUGGCGAGUGGCGAACGGGUGAGUAAUGUAUCGGAACGUGCCCAGUCGUGGGGGAUAACGUAGUGAAAAUUACGCUAAUACCGCAUACGAUCUAUGGAUGAAAGCGGGGGAUCGCAAGACCUCGCGCGAUUGGAGCGGCCGAUAUCAGAUUAGGUGGUUGGGGGGGUAAAGGCCCACCAAGCCAACGAUCUGUAGCUGGUCUGAGAGGACGACCAGACACACUGGAACGGAGACACGGUCCAGACUCCUACGGGAGGCAGCAGUGGGGAAUUUUGGACAAUGGGCGAAAGCCUGAUCCAGCCAUUCCGCGUGCAGGAUGAAGGCCCUCGGGUUGUAAACUGCUUUUGUACAGAACGAAAAGGUUUCUACUAAUACUAGGAGCUCAUGACGGUACUGUAAGAAUAAGCACCGGCUAACUACGUGCCAGCCGCCGCCGUAA